UCUGGCGGCUUUAGCGCGGUGGUCCCACCUGACCCCAUGCCGAACUCAGAAGUGAAACGCCGUAGCGCCGCCCUGAUUUUUCUGUGAGUCUGCCGGAU
rnacentral:rRNA from 1 species